rnacentral:rRNA from 1 species
AAAACUGGGGUUAAUUCUCGAUGGGUGAGGAGGCCUGGAAUGGUUCUUCACUGAAAGGGCGCUAGAGGCAUGCUCUCUAACGUUGCCCAAGGAUGGGGCCGCGGCCGAUCAGGUUGUUGGUGAGGUAACGGCUUACCAAGCCUAUAACCGGUACGGGCCGUGAGAGCGGAAGCCCGGAGAUGGGCACUGAGAUAAGGGCCCAGGCCCUACGGGGCGCAGCAGUUACGAAAACUCCGCAAUGCACGAAAGUGUGACGGGGCUACCCCGAGUGCCGUCCGCUGAGGAUGGCUUUUCUCCGCUGUAAGGAGGCGGAGGGAUAAGGAGAGGGCAAGACUGGUGUCAGCCGCCGCGGUAAUACCAGCUCUCCGAGUGGUAGGGAUGAUUAUUGGGCUUAAAGCGUCCGUAGCCGGCCUAGCAAGUCUUCCGUUAAAUCCAGCAACCUAAUUGUUGGGCUGCGGGGGAUACUGUUAGGCUAGGGGGCGGGAGAGGCCGACGGUAUUCUCGGGGUAGGGGUGAAAUCUUAUAAUCCCGGGAGGACCACCAGUGGCGAAGGCUGUCGGCUAGCACGCGCCUGACGGUGAGGGACGAAAGCUGGGGGAGCGAACCGGAUUAGAUACCCGGGUAGUCCCUGCUGUAAACGAUGCGAGCUAGGUGUUGGGGCGGCUACGAGCCGCUUCAGUGCCGCAGCGAAGGCGUUAAGCUCGCCGCCUGGGGAGUACGGCCGCAAGGCUGAAACUUAA